AAUAGGCUGGUGUGGAAAACUGCUGCCACACCGACCCCUCGGCCUGUGCUUCGAGGUUUCUGAUAUGUUUGAUGCCAGGAUCUUACUGUUGCUGCUCCUGUCUGGGGCAAGAGCAUUCAUGAUCCACAACACCCAGCACAACCUGUGUCUGGAAGAUUCAGCAGAUACAGGUGAAGUCCAAUUGAAGACAUGCAACCUAGACUCUGAAUAUCAGCAGUGGAUCUGGAUCAGUCGGGACAUGCUGAUGUGUGUCGCAUCAUCUAGGUGUCUGUCAGCCCAGCACGAAGGGCCAGUGCACACCCAGGAUUGCCAUGAACCCGAGGUGGAUGCUGCUUGGUUAAUAUGGGACUGUGACCGGGACCAACUGAUCAGUAGAAAGCUAUCAAUGCUUCUGUCACACAAUGGCCAGCAUGCGAUCCUCGUACAACACAGCAAACACCCAAAGUGGAGAUCUCUGGAUCAGGGGGACAUCUGCCAGGAAAGAUUCAGACAUCGGAGAGCUUCUGACGAUUUGACGUACGAGGAUGAAGCACAAACAGGAGAGCUGACAGCUAUGACAAAGGAACAAAGAGAGUAUCUACGUUGGUUCUACCGCACAGAGGACUCAACCACAUGGACAUUUGUACUGCUGGGACUGGCCUUUGUCUGCCUUCUUGUUGGUUUUCUUCUCCUGGGAAUGGGAGCCAUGGCAAAUAAGAGCAGGAAGAAGAUAGCCGAGUACAAGGCUGCAACAUCUCUGCUUCAGAAAAAUGAAGAUCAGGAGCUGCUCAAAGAAAACAGCACACACCCAGCAUCAGACAUGCCACUGCAGGGAAACAAGCCUCACAUGUCCAACAGUGACACAAGUGAGCAGAGCAAUGCAGGAAAUAUUGUGGUCACAUGGAAAGAUGGCAACACCUCCUGCCUGUACCCAGAUCCUGCGGUGGAAGAGAAACAGGAGGAAGAGAGGAAAGAGAAAAUAACAGCUGCUGAGCUCGACUCUCCAGAUGAAGUGAAGAUUAUGAGCUGAAGAGGUCACAGUGAAUACCAGCGGCAGUGGGAGUGGCAGUGUUUGCUUUAAUAAUUGAUCAUAAUUUUCUGAUUAUUCUUAUUUUCAUGACUUCAGAGUGAAAUUUUAUGAAACCCUCAAAUGAUCAGAAAACAGUUCUCUUUUUUAUUCAUUCCUAAUAAAGCUCAUAACAGUUUACAUUACAGUUUCAAUGGGUGGUUGCGCUCAUAAAAUGUGUCCACGUGGGAACAAAAGUUGUAUAAAAAUGGUUCCCUGUAAAGGUAUUCUAUAAAAACAGUUUCUGGAUGUAAGUUCAGAUCUGCUUAUGUGUGCUUCCCCCAAUGGGCUUCGCCAUUGUUAGUUUUGGGGUGGCUAAAGGAGGCAGCUCUGCCCCUGCUGAUGGUUCAGUUUCUAGGGCUCCUCUUGUGGUGUUGAUGAUGAUUUCUGGUUUGAUGGGCUGUAAAGUUGCUUUCAAUAAGGUUCUGUCCACAGGGAGUCUGACAAAUAGACACCGAAUGUUCUAGUCUUCCUCCAUCCUGUGUUGUGAACUGAAAUGGGAAAAACUUAAUGAGAUUUGAGUACUUUUGUGUGUUGUGCUGAUGCCUCAGAUAUUAUUGCAUCACAAUAAAUCACUUGCUUUGAUCUUGAA
ensembl:lncRNA